CUAUCAGAUGAGCCUAGGUCGGAUUAGCUAGUUGGUGAGGUAAUGGCUCACCAAGGCGACGAUCCGUAACUGGUCUGAGAGGAUGAUCCAGUCACACUGGAACUGAGACACGGUCCAGACUCCUACGGGAGGCAGCAGUGGGGAAUAUUGGACAAUGGGCGAAAGCCUGAUCCAGCCAUGCCGCGUGUGUGAAGAAGGUCUUCGGAUUGUAAAGCCACUUUAAGUGGGAGGAAGGGCAGUUACCUAAUACGUGAU
rnacentral:rRNA from 1 species